ensembl:lncRNA
CCCGCCCAGGAGGACGCCCUUUCAGCCCAGGAAUCACCCACUUUCCAUUUCCAGGUUCCACCAGGCAGGCCUCGUGCCCGGGUCAGACUCGCACCUGGCUCAGGCUUCCUCUGUGCUUCCUGGUUGGUGAAACUGGGGGUCCUUCGGGAGGAUGCCCAGCACCCUGUAUGUGCACACACACCCAUACACACCCAGCACACACACACCCCCAUAUGCACACACACCCCCAUACACACACAGCACACACACCCAUACACACACAGCACACACACCCAUAUGCACAUGCACACCCAUAUAUACACAGCACACACACCCAGCACACACACCCAUACACACCCAGCACACACACACCCAUAUGCACACACACACCCAUAUACACACAGCACACACACCCAUACACAUCCAGCACACACACCUGUACACACCCAGCACACACACCCCUACACACAGAGCACACAUACAUACCCAUACGCGCACACACACAUACACACACAUACACAGCACACACACCCAUACACAUACAGCACACACACCUGUACACACCCAGCACACACACCCGUACACAGCCAGCACACAUACAUACCCAUACACGCACACACACACACCCAGCACACACACUUGUACACACCCAGGGCGUGCACACUCAGCACACACCCAUAUGCACCCACAGCGCACACACACGCACGCACACACACCCCCAUACACACAUAGCACACACAGACGUACACACACAUGUACACACACAGCACACACACGUACACAUACAGCACAUGCGUACACAUGUACGUACACACCCAUGCACACACACCUGUACACACACACAUGCACAUACUCCCCCUCCGUCUGCCAGUCCCAACAGCUGCAUCUGCACCCGCCCUGUCGGCUGCACUCCCAGGCGGUGAGGUCCACGAGGGGAGCCUGCCAAGCUCACUGCUGAGACCACUGGGCCGGGCCAGCCAGGGAGGUGCACGGGGCACAGGAUGCUGAGGAGGCAAACAGCAGGGGCAGAUGCCCGGAGGGGCAGGAGAAGCUUCCUGGAGAGGUGACAUCAAAAGGAAGGAGCAGGCUGACGGGGGCUGGCGGCUCCCCACCCACUGUGUCCCACCCUGGCCCGCUGAUAGCAGAACUGACAUUUGUCACCCACUCUCCACCUCGGGCAGCGCUGCUCACUGUCCUGCCCUUCCUUUGCCACUCCCAGGGGGUCUGUGAAAGGUCAGGCAUGUGACGUCCACACCUCUGAUGGAGAAAAGACCUUUCAGACAAAGAGAGAUGUCAAAGCCAGCAUGCCACCCAGCCGUCGCCCAGAGAUGACCCGCUGCCCCACUGCCAAGGGAUAGGCCAGCCUCCGCUGGCUCUUCAAUGGGGCGGGGGCAGCCCUCACCUCCCUACCGGCCCCGGCCAGCAGCUCUGUCCUGGGUCCAGCCCGUUGCCGGGAGUUAAACACGGGGCUCUCCAGGAGAGACCGGCACAGAUUCCGGGUGUCAGUUCCCAAAAUGCCGCCAGAGGAAGUAGCAGGACAGAACGGAGGACGCCCUCCCCAAGACGCUGGCGUCCACCUUGCUUAUAAUUUUGAAAAGGUGGAACUGCCAACUGUCCUUUGAUGAGAGAGGGUCAAAGGAGUCAUGAUAGAGGUCUCCACAAGAGUCAAACACCGCCAGUAAAUUUGUGUGAAUUGAUGUGGAAAACAGCCCAAGAUACAUCAUGAGUGACAAGGGCAGGUGGUGGCGUGGUCCGUUGUGUGAUGGAGGCCCCAGGUGAACAGAGACACUGGGGGACCACGGCUGGGGGUCACCCCUCUCCUAUGACUCUCUCUGCUGCAGCAGCUGUGUGUGACGACACGGCAUUGGCGUGUGACCGGUGACCUGGAGAGCCCGUGCCUCGCAGGCUCUGUGGGGGACGCCCCAUUGUCAGCCACGUUGGUGCGAGCCCUGGGUCGGGGACAAGCAGAGUGUUCACAGGACACCUCCCUCUGGGGUGGGUGGGGCUCCUGGGUCCUGGGAGCCAGGCUCUUCCUUCCCAUAAUUCCCUGCCUCCUAUUUGCAGAGGGUCUCCCCCAGGGGACUCGGGGGAAGCUGCACGAGUUCACAGGACUCUGGGGCGUCUGCUGAAGCCUGGGGCAUCACCCCACUGAGGCAUAGGGUGGGUGUGCCUGUGUGUGCACAUGUGCGUGUGUGCACGCGUGACCAUGCACACACACACACCCACUCACUCUUAAAGUUCUGUGCCCGUGAAGGGUGGGUUCAAACCUGAUCCUGGAGUGGGUUCCCAUCCCGGCUCUGGCACCUGCAAGUGGCUUGACCUUGGGCGGAUCAUGUCGCCCUGCUGCCUCGGCUCUCGCAUCCGCCAGGGGCCCAGGCGGGGACCGGGCUCAUGGGGCAGCGUGAGGAUGAAUCGCUCCGUCUCUGCGGAGCUCCGAGGAUGCCCCUGGCCACAGCGGUGCUCGAUGGCUGUCAUCCGGCAGCUCCAGGCCCUGAGGUGGCCGCCUUCCGGUCUAAGGCUGGAGCCGGAGGACCGGCUGUACCGAGAGGCAAGACUCCCGGUUCGAGACGCUUCCUCUCCGGGCCGGCUCCUCGGGGCACAGAGAUGAACCAUGCAGAGCAGUCGCUCCCCGUGCUGGCCUGGCUCCCCAGAGAUGGCCCACGGGGGCCACUUUGUACAGGGUCCCCUUCUGCUCUCUGUCUGCCACGGCCUCACAGAGCACGGCGUCUUCUUGUUUGGUCUCAAGGAGAAAGAAUGAAGGCGUCUUCUUGUUUGGUCUCAAGGAGAAAGAAUGAAGUCAGCUGAAGACCCAGCGGGAGGCUCACUGGGAGUUCUCUGACGGGACUUUCUCCAAGGCCAUGGGGGGCGUCUGGUCCACAUUCCAAGGCCCAGCUUUUCUCUGGAGGAUGAAGACCUGCCUUCUCCUCCGGAAAGAAACGCAUCUGUUUGCAAGGCACAGGGCACAAAAGAGCAAGACAAAGACGAGGACGGCGGAGGAGGAUGGAGUUCGCGUCCUGGGACACCAGGGCGUUCAUUGAAAAUUAAGGCUUUACAGGGAACGUGCACACAAGCCUGCUCCCUCACGAGGAAGGACAGCGCAGCCUUCCCCAGAAGGCCUGGGCAACUUCGCCCGGAAAGGAGGGCCCCUGGGGAAGCCUGCCUCCCCCCCAGUCCCCUCCCCCUCCUCCAAGCUGCAGUUGUGGGGACUGUAAAUGGGGCCGCUGCCCGUCUCCUGCCCGGCCCCUCCGAUCUCUGACGACAGCACCGCCGAGGGGCAGAGCUCCUGAACCACGGCCGGAGCUGUGGGGACGGCGCCCUUCGCCCUUGGGGGUGAGAGGGCUUCUGGGCUCCGAGAGCCCGGGUCACGUUCCCAGUCGCCUCUGGCAGUGGUCUGUGCUGGGGGCGCAGAGCCAACACUGAGCUGAUGAUGGGGAUGCAAAGCCCUGUCUCAGUCUGAGUGCGGCCCGUGAGGAGCUCCCGGGCAGGGACGACAGGUGGCAUCUGGAAGGCUGUUCCCAGGACGACCCGCGUGAAUGCGCCUCUCCCCCCUCGCAGCUGAGAAGCGGGGCAGGCGCCUCCCGCUGUGCACCGAGGACAACGUGGACCACGGCUGGGGGUUAUUACUCUUCUCGCAUCCCAGUUGUGAUGGCACGUCAUGUUCCACGGCUUUGGAAUGAAGAAAACUCGGCUCCACCAAGGGCGGAGGCGGGGAGAGAGGUGGAAGACAUGGUGCCAGUUCC